rnacentral:lncRNA from 1 species
CUUAGGAGUCCCCAGGGAGCUGCUGGCUGCUGGCGUAGACCUGUGUUCCUAUUGCUGGUAACACAUCAGGUAGGCAGAAACAGCAAAAUGGAGAAACCUCUACUACAGCAGGAGUACAUCCAUGAGUAAUGAGGUGUUGUGGCUUCUCCAGCUUCAACUUUCUUUGUUCAACUUUCUGUCUCCCCACCGCAUGUGGUCCAGUGACUUCCUCAGCAGCGUUGAACAGACAAUUCAUUAUCUCCCUACAGUUUGAAACACCGGCAUUAUUGAAGAUGGAUAGAAAGUGGAAAAAUGAUGGGGUGAUGGGAGAGAAAUCACGAGAAAAGAGGCUUUGAUGUUGCAGAUAAGAGACUGGCAAGCUCGAGAAGAAGCCGACUGGAAAUGAGCUCCAUUAGGAGAGGGCAUCCUGACCAUGGGGCCAUGACUGGCCUUGAAGUGAGAGAGGACACAGGAGCAAGAGGACAUCUUGGCAGAGACCACAGAGCAUGGCUUUCCUGCUGGGUGCUGUAGUGUAACCUGCAAUCCAACAUUUGGUGGAGGGGGGUGAGGGGCGGGUGAGGGAAAGGUAGGAGGGGGUGUGGAGGCAGGAGAAACAGGAGUUCAAGGAUAGUCUCAGCUAUAUAGCAAGCUUGAGGUCCAUCUGAGUUACAUGAGAUCCUGUCCUGUGACGAUAUCUUGAUUGUACAAAUAAAGCCUGUCUAAAGAUCAGAGGAUGGAACUUGCCACUAGCUAAACCUAAAGGUUGGAGGUCUGUACAGACAGACAGGAAGUGAGAUGUCUGGGCAGAGGGAGGAAAUGAGAUGGCCGGGGCAGAGAGGAUUUGAAGGGACCAGCUUCCCAUUUCAGCAGCCAUAACAGCCUAACAUGUGCUUGUCUGACCUUGCCUUGGUCACUAGGAGGUCAGAUGCCUGCCUCAUGGCAAGGAACCAAUCAGAAGUUAGCUGGUAGUGCUAUCCUUUACGGCUCUGUGUGUGCUUUAUGGACAAGUGCACAGCAAUGACGUGCAGAGCACAGCAAUCACCCUGGGAGGGGCUAUGGGCCAUAACAACCAGUUGACCAAUCAACACAGAGCAAGUCCUCCAAGCCUGGAGGCACACCAAUCCUGAGCCUAUGUGUACCCCUAGACACUCCCCUUACACUGCCCUAUAAGAUCUCUAUCCCGUGGCUUCUCAGAAUCUUUUCCCAGCCAUCUGCCAUGGUGGAUGGAUGAAAUGCCCAAGCUAACAUGGGGUUAACUCGUUAAACAACUGCAAUAAAAGACUCAUUGCUUUUGCAUCGAAAUGGGCCUCUUGGUGAUUUGGGGGUUCAGAAUUUGGGCGCAACAGGAUUUAAGCAGGAAGAAACAGGAACUCGCUCUCUUUACUCCUGGGAAGCUAAUGAAUUGAAGGUGGCUUUGGCUUGCUCCUUCUUCUCUCUGAUCUCUCAGCAUUUUCCUCUAUAUCUGACUCCACCUUUUUAUUAUUUAGCCCAAUUAAGAACUCCAAAUCUGACAGUUUCAUUAAGAGAGGUAGCAGAGAGAGCAAGGGAGCGAGAGAGCCAGUGCUGCCACAGAUCCAGGACAGGGACAAAGCCUCAGAGAAACUUCACAACAAAGUAGGAAUCUGAC